GACGAACGCUGGCGGCGUGCCUAAUACAUGCAAGUCGAACGAGAGCGACCGGUGCUUGCACUGGUCAAUCUAGUGGCGAACGGGUGAGUAACGCGUGGGUAACCUGCCCAUCAGAGGGGGAUAACAUCCGGAAACGGAUGCUAAAACCGCAUAGGUCUUCGAGCCGCAUGGCUUGAAGAGGAAAAGAGGCGCAAGCUUCUGCUGAUGGAUGGACCCGCGGUGCAUUAGCUAGUUGGUGAGGUAACGGCUCACCAAGGCCGUGAUGCAUAGCCGACCUGAGAGGGUGAUCGGCCACAUUGGGACUGAGACACGGCCCAAACUCCUACGGGAGGCAGCAGUAGGGAAUCUUCCGCAAUGGACGCAAGUCUGACGGAGCAACGCCGCGUGAGUGAAGAAGGUUUUCGGAUCGUAAAACUCUGUUGUUAGAGAAGAACAAGUGCUAGAGUAACUGUUAGCGCCUUGACGGUAUCUAACCAGAAAGCCAUGGCUAACUACGUG
rnacentral:rRNA from 1 species